GAUCAUGGCUCAGGAUGAACGCUAGCUACAGGCUUAACACAUGCAAGUCGAGGGGUAGCACGGAAGAAGCUUGCUUCUUUGGGUGACGACCGGCGCACGGGUGAGUAACACGUAUCCAACCUGGCCCAUACUCGGGUAUAGCCUCUCGAAAGGGAGAUUAAUCCCCGAUGUUGUCGUUGUUCCGCAUGGUACAUCGACCAAAGUUUUUCGGUAUGGGAUGGGGAUGCGUUCCAUUAGCUUGUUGGCGGGGUAACGGCCCACCAAGCCGACGAUGGGUAGCCGACCUGAGAGGGUGAUCGGCCACACUGGAACUGAGACACGGUCCAGACUCCUACGGGAGGCAGCAGUGGGGAAUAUUGGUCAAAUGGACGAGAGUCUGAACCAGCCAUGUCGCGUGAAGGAAGACUGUCCUAUGGAUUGUAAACUUCUUUUAUAUGGGAAUAAAGUGAGAAACGUGUUUCUUUUUGUAUGUACCAUAUGAAUAAGCAUCGGCUAACUCCGUG
rnacentral:rRNA from 1 species